AAGUGUCUUUGCCCACCAAG
rnacentral:piRNA from 1 species